ACCCGUAGUCUCGUGACCCAAAAUUCGUAUCCCCAUAGACUGAAGUCACAGACCGAAUAUUUUCGCACGGUUAUAAUAAUAUAAAUCACGUAGUCGCCGUCCGGCUAUAUUGUAUUCACAAAUGUAUAUCUGUGCUAAAACCUGUAUAUUGCGCGAAGACCAGUUAUAAAUCAUAUACGCGAUAACUUUUGAAAUAUAAUGUAUUAUAAUUUUGGGUUUAUUAUAUACACCGUGUGACCGAAAAACUCGCAACAAAAAUAUACACGAAUAACGUAUCUGCAUAGGCAAUUGUCAAAUCUCGCAGAUACACUCUGUAUAUCUUCCUCUUGGAGGACCUGCCACAAACAAUCCUCUCCGCCUUUCCUUGUCGAAUGCUUAUAAUUCAAUUAACUCAUUUAUGUCCACCGUACGAAUAUCCUUUUCCAUAGCAGUCCUCCAUCUCGUUCGCGGCCUACCAAUUGUUGGUCUUUUUUAUGCAUCAUAAUAGUUAUGACCAGUAUUAAUAAAUCGCCUUCAGUUCUCCAAUUGUGCCUGAAUCACACUAUCUCACCCUGUUUAUUCGCAUACAGAUA